CAGUCGCCGCGGGAAUACGUAGGUGGCAAGCGUUGUCCGGAAUUAUUGGGCGUAAAGGACUCGCAGGCGGUUUCUUAAGUCUGAUGUGAAAGCCCCCGGCUCAACCGGGGAGGGUCAUUGGAAACUGGGAAACUUGAGUGCAGAAGAGGAGAGUGGAAUUCCACGUGUAGCGGUGAAAUGCGUAGAGAUGUGGAGGAACACCAGUGGCGAAGGCGACUCUCUGGUCUGUAACUGACGCUGAGGAGCGAAAGCGUGGGGAGCGAACAGGAUUAGAUACCCCCGUAGUCCCUGUCUCUUAUAC
rnacentral:rRNA from 1 species